GCCAGCAAAACAAAAAGAUUUACAGAUUUCUUAGAAUUUCAGAGAAUUCCCCUCCCCCGGCUGAAAUUUGCACUUGGGGUUUACUUUGCACAAUUGAAUGUUAGGUUUGAAAUAUAUUUAAGGUUACACUGGGAGACACUUCAAUUCAAAUAAAAUGAUUGCUAAAAUAAUCCCAGACAUGUCAUGUCUUGUAAUUCGUAUUAAAAUCUAAUGACCGACGAAUCCUGGUGGGUUAGGGAAAAUUGUGGAGCGCUAACUUGAGAGCACCACUAGAAUGUUGGUCUUUGAUUUUUCCCAAGGGUCUCCAUUCUUUUCAAUAGCACUCAUCGAAGCAGCCAUUCCAUUUCCUUUCGUUUUCUCAUUCCGAUGAGCGAGACGGCCUCAACAUUGUAAUCUUUUGCCGAAUGAGAACCAGAGCAGGAACCAGAAUGGGAAGGGAAGGGCUGGAGUGCAGUGAAGGAGCCUUCGAAUUGCGUUUAUUGCUCAAACAAACCGUCGUGGCAGCUGGCCCCCAAGUCCUUUUGGUUGCUGGUAAUGGGGGAAUGGCUGCAACAGUAACACCAUUAAAGAUGGAUGCGGGAGUAUGGGGGGACUACACCAGAGGCAUGCAACUCUUCUCAUCAUGAUAUACCUUCCGCUUGGCCGCCGCUGGCUGACUACAGUCUGCCCCCGCUGCAUGCCCCCCGCUCCUGAGCUGGAGCAGCGUUGUUGGUUUUAAUUCAAUUUAACAAUCUUUUUUUGCGCUUCUCGCUUUUUUGUUGGUUUUUUUCCGCUUUUCUUUGCACUUUUUCGCUCUGUUUUCGCCAGUGCGCUGCAUGUGCCUCUGCCGCAGCGUUAUGUGUGCCUUGCAUUGUUGCAACAGCAGCAGCGGAGGCAGCGAAGCCAAGCGGAAGCAGCGGCGGCGCAGCAGGCAGAGACGCGAGCCAUUAGUGCAAAUGAAAUUGCAUUUUGUGUGCCCCAAACACUCAAAGAAAUUUAAUCAAAGGCGUGUGCUGACUGCUGCCUGCGUUUGGCAUAUUUUUCCUAUAUACAACACACAGAUACAUACAUCCAUCUACACAUAGAUAACAUUUGUGUGUGUGUGUGUGUGUGGGUGUA
rnacentral:lncRNA from 1 species